rnacentral:rRNA from 1 species
GACGAACGCUGGCGGCGUGCUUAACACAUGCAAGUCGAGCGAUGAAGCUCCUUCGGGAGUGGAUUAGCGGCGGACGGGUGAGUAACACGUGGGUAACCUGCCUCAUAGAGGGGAAUAGCCUUUCGAAAGGAAGAUUAAUACCGCAUAAGAUUGUAGCUUCGCAUGAAGCAGCAAUUAAAGGAGUAAUCCGCUAUGAGAUGGACCCGCGUCGCAUUAGGAAGUUGGUGAGGUAACGGCCGGCCAAGUCGACGAUGCGUAGCCGACCUGAGAGGGUGAGCGGCCACGUUGGGACUGAGACACGGCCAAGACUCCUACGGGAGGCAGCAGUGGGGAAUAUUGCACAAUGGGGGAAACCCUGAUGCAGCAACGCCGAGUGAGUGAUGACGGUCUUCGGAUUGUAAAGCUCUGUCUUCAGGGACGAUAAUGACGGUACCUGAGGAGGAAGCCACGGCUAACUACGUGCCAGCAGCCGCCGUAA